CAGUUUUUAAUAUUUUUCAUAUAUUAAACAAAUAUUAUUAUUCGUCAAAGUAAGAAAGUGCCAAGACAAAUAAUUUUCUGAAAAAAAUGGGAACAUUUUUGAAAAGUGUUGGCAUGGCAGUUUUGGACAAACUGCUCUAGAAUAUGGAGCAUAAGUCUCAACGCCCUGACUUUUUAUAGUUCCUCAGAUCUAGAAAUUUAUACGGACGGAAAUGGACAGAUCGCGGUUUUUAUUAUUUUACGAAAAUUGAAGCAGUAGUCAACCUGCGCUGCAUACAGGCUUAGUCCCAACUAGCACUUAAGGUUCGCGAUGUUCCCAAGUUCAUACAAUCGGGCAGACGGACAAAAGACCAUGGGAAAGCACGACUCGUUUUGUAAUCAUGGACUACAGAGAACUCAUAUACACCCACUUACAAAAAAUCCAAUUUAAUUUUUCGCUGCUCAAGUCACAAAACUAUUGACAAUGAAGACAAACCCGGAUCAAAUAAAACCACAAGUCUUCCAUUAUCCUAGAAAAACUAUGAAAUUUCGCGUUCGCAUUCACACUAGCUGAGUAACGGGUAUCUGAUAGUUGGGCAACUCGACUGUAGCAUUCUCUCUUGUUUUAUCUGAGGUCCACCCAAAUAAUACGCCUCUAAGAGAAGGAAUUGAACAACAUUGUAAAUGAACCAACACCACCAAAAACGAAACAGGACGUAGAAGAUUAAUUG